UACAGAGGUCUCGAGCGUUAGGCGGAAUCACUGGGCUUAAAGCGCGUGUAGGCGGAUCGUUAAGUACCUUGUGAAAUCCCACGGCUUAACCGUGGAACGGCUGGGUAUACUGGCGGUCUUGAGGACUGGAGAGGAGACUGGAAUUCAUGGUGUAGCAGUGAAAUGCGUAGAGAUCAUGAGGAAGACCAGUGGCGAAGGCGGGUCUCUGGACAGUUCCUGACACUGAGGCACGAAGGCCAGGGGAGCAAACGGG
rnacentral:rRNA from 1 species